AUCCACUGGAGGACAAUUCUUUCAGGUCGUUGUCCUUAACCGUAAAGGAGUGACCCUCCUCAGCACAAUCAUUCCGGUCUCGUCCUGGGUCGUGUCGAUAUCAUCAAUGAAGAAGGCUCCCUGAUGCCCGAAUGCUACUAAGCUUGCCCCCAGAGUAACUGGGAGCCACUAUGGCAAGAAGUAGCUUUGUAAAUUUUGGGAGCUACAGUGGUCUAAUCCUUUCGGUGCAACUUCCGGUGGGUAGCGGUAGCACAGAGAACAGACAUUCAGGCUAGAACAAAUUUCAUUCGAAAAGUUGUGUAAGGAUUUGCAUCUUCACUUGAGUAAGGUUGCAAACCAAUACACGGUGACAUCACUAACGCCGCCAAACACCAUAUUGCCACAGUCAGUGGUGAAUUGAAACAUUUCAAGUGGUGAAUUAAAUUAGUAUGGGAAAUUAACCGAUUGCAGCGCCACGCUAUUGCCACUUGUGUUGCCGAUUUGAAAUGGCCGUUAAAUUCCUUACACAGUUUCGGAACCGGACUUGGAUGUCUGUUCUCUGUGGCGGUAGAUCGGGAUCGACCUUCAGGAACUCACUUAGAUGUGAUGUCUGUGGUACCUUGUGGUAUGCACAUAAUAAAUUAUUGUAUUACUGUAUUACGUUUAGCGUGUAUGUUUACAUUGAGUAUCUGUCAUAUGUGGAGAUGUUGUUAUUGUUGUCUGGAGUGUGAAUCAUUGUAUGUAAUAUUGAAGUAUCGGUAAUAAAGUGUAUACAAAUAAUGAAUACAGUUGUUGAAUAAUCAUUACAGAGAAAGAUUCUCACAUUGGCGACGAGAACGGUGAACAGUGCAUGUGAAAUUAGUUUAAUUUCGGUUCGGGAAGUGUUGUCUUUGGAAAAAGAAAGAGAUGAGUGCUGUGUGUGGUGCAUGCAGAGUGGUGAAGACCUCUAGAUGAUGACUUGUGAUUGAAUUUCAACAUUGGAAUCAAAAAGGUACAACCAUAAGUAACGGCCAAGUAAUUUACCAAAAUGCCGAGCAGAGAUGGAUGACCAAAUGGAUGACAGUACUACUAAUUCUGAUGUGAGACUGAAGCGAGACGUUCAUAAACUGAGGAGACUAUAAGCGAAAACAACGUGGAGUGACCUUGCUGCGGAUCUGGAGAAAAAACGAGAUGUGGUACCUUGUGGUAUGCACAUAAUAAAUUAUUGUAUUACUGUAUUACGUUUAGCGUGUAUGUUUACAUUGAGUAUCUGUCAUAUGUGGAGAUGUUGUUAUUGUUGUCUGGAGUGUGAAUCAUUGUAUGUAAUAUUGAAGUAUCGGUAAUAAAGUGUAUACAAAUAAUGAA